rnacentral:rRNA from 1 species
ACCAGACUCCUACGGGAGGCAGCAGUGGGGAAUAUUGGGCAAUGGGCGAAAGCCUGACCCAGCAACGCCGCGUGAAGGAAGAAGGCUUUCGGGUUGUAAACUUCUUUUGACAGGGAAGAGCAGAAGACGGUACCUGUCGAAUAAGCCACGGCUAACUACGUGCCAGCAGCCGCGGUAAUACGUAGGGGGCAAGCGUUAUCCGGAUUUAUUGGGUUUAAAGGGUGCGUAGGCGGAAUGCCAAGUCAGCGGUAAAAUCGGGGGCCUCAACCUCGCUCCGCCGUUGAAACUGGCGUUCUUGAGUGGGCGAGAAGUAUGCGGAAUGCGUGGUGUAGCGGUGAAAUGCAUAGAUAUCACGCAGAACUCCGAUUGCGAAGGCAGCAUACCGGCGCCCAACUGACGCUGAAGCACGAAAGCGUGGGUAUCGAACAGGAUUAGAUACCCGGGUA